rnacentral:lncRNA from 1 species
AAAAAUAAUUUUAUUAAUUAGUGUGCUCGCCAAAGAUUCGAACCGUUGUGCCUACAUAUUCUCAUAGUGCAAUGAGAAAAUCGGAGUUUCGUAGUUCGUGGUAGAAAAUACAAAUUUAUUGGUUGUUUUUAUUGAACGAUGUUAAUGUUCGUGUUCUAGCAGUUAAAUGUUUCUUGUAUGAUUGCACAUGAGAGACUUAGGUGUUUGUUCAUAUUGUGGUAGAAUGGAUGCGCUUGG